rnacentral:rRNA from 1 species
UUCGAACGGCAGCGCGGGUGCUUGCACCUGGCGGCGAGUGGCGAACGGGUGAGUAAUGUAUCGGAACGUGCCCAGUAGCGGGGGAUAACUACGCGAAAGCGUGGCUAAUACCGCAUACGCCCUUAGGGGGAAAGGUGGGGAUUCUUCGGAACCUGCCACUAUUGGAGCGGCCGAUAUCGGAUUAGCUAGUUGGUGGGGUAAAGGCCUACCAAGGCGACGAUCCGUAGCUGGUUUGAGAGGACGACCAGCCACACUGGGACUGAGACACGGCCCAGACUCCUACGGGAGGCAGCAGUGGGGAAUUUUGGACAAUGGGGGAAACCCUGAUCCAGCCAUUUCGCGUGUGCGAUGAAGGCCUUCGGGUUGUAAAGCACUUUUGGCGGGGAAGAAAAGCGCCGGGCUAAUACCCUGGCGUGCUGACGGUACCCGCAGAAUAAGCACCGGCUAACUACGUGCCAGCAGCCGCGGUAAUACGUAGGGUGCAAGCGUUAAUCGGAAUUACUGGGCGUAAAGGGUGCGUAGGCGGUUGCGCAAGACAGA